CAGGCCUAACACAUGCAAGUCGAGCGGUAGAGAGAAGCUUGCUUCUCUUGAGAGCGGCGGACGGGUGAGUAAUGCCUAGGAAUCUGCCUGGUAGUGGGGGAUAACGUUCGGAAACGGACGCUAAUACCGCAUACGUCUACGGGAGAAAGCAGGGGACUUCGGGCCUUGCGCUAUCAGAUGAGCCUAGGUCGGAUUAGCUAGUUGGUGAGGUAAUGGCUCACCAAGGCGACGAUCCGUAACUGGUCUGAGAGGAUGAUCAGUCACACUGGAACUGAGACACGGUCCAGACUCUACGGGAGGCAGCAGUGGGGAAUAUUGGACAAUGGGCGAAAGCCUGAUCCAGCCAUGCCGCGUGUGUGAAGAAGGUCUUCGGAUUGUAAAGCACUUUAAGUUGGGAGGAAGGGCAGUUACCUAAUACGUGAUUGUUUUGACGUUACCGACAGAAUAAGCACCGGCUAACUCUGUGCCAGCAGCCGCGGUAAU
rnacentral:rRNA from 1 species